GGAGGAUAGCCUUGCGAAAGCAAGAUUAAUACCCGAUGUUCUCACUGUUCCGCAUGUUACGGUGAGCAAAGAAUUUCGGUAUGCGAUGGCGAUGCGUCCCAUUAGCUAGUUGGCGGGGUAACGGCCCACCAAGGCUCCGAUGGGUAGGGGUUCUGAGAGGAAGGUCCCCCACACUGGAACUGAGACACGGUCCAGACUCCUACGGGAGGCAGCAGUGAGGAAUAUUGGUCAAUGGACGCAAGUCUGAACCAGCCAAGUAGCGUGCAGGAUGACGGCCCUCCGGGUUGUAAACUGCUUUUAGUUGGGAAUAAAAGGGGGCUCGUGAGCCCCGUAUUGUAUGUACCAUCAGAAAAAGGACCGGCUAAUUCCGUGCCAGCAGCCGCGGUAAUACGGAAGGUCCGGGCGUUAUCCGGAUUUAUUGGGUUUAAAGGGAGCGUAGGCCGGCUUUUAAGUCAGCUGUGAAAGUCCGCGGCUCAACCGUGGAAUUGCAGUUGAAACCGGAGGCCUUGAGUGCACACAGGGAUGCCGGAAUUCAUGGUGUAGCGGUGAAAUGCUUAGAUAUCAUGAAGAACUCCGAUCGCGAAGGCAAGUGUCCGGGGUGCAACUGACGCUGAGGCUCGAAAGUGCGGGUAUCAAACAGGAUUAGAUACCCUGGUAGUCCGCACCGUAAAC
rnacentral:rRNA from 1 species